AGAACGAACGCUGGCGGCGUGGAUAAGACAUGCAAGUCGAACGGGAUAACAUUUGUAGCAAUACAGGUGUUAUUUAGUGGCGAACGGGUGCGUAACACGUGGGGAAUCUGCCGAAAAGUGGGGGGAUAGCUCGCCGAAAGGCGAAUUAAUACCGCAUGUGAUCAGGGAAGACAUCUUUCCAACAUGAAAGGUGGCGUAAGCUACCGCUUUUUGAUGACCCCGCGGCCUAUCAGCUAGUUGGUGAGGUAACGGCUCACCAAGGCUAUGACGGGUAGCUGGUCUGAGAGGACGACCAGCCACACUGGAACUGAGACACGGUCCAGACACCUACGGGUGGCAGCAGUCGAGAAUUUUUUCACAAUGGGGGCAACCCUGAUGGAGCGACGCCGCGUGGAGGAUGAAGGCUUUCGGGUUGUAAACUCCUGUCAUUUGGGAACAAGUUGCAAUGGUUAACUGCCGCUGCAUUGAUAGUACCAGAAGAGGAAGAGACGGCUAACU
rnacentral:rRNA from 1 species